AUUGAACGCUGGCAGCAUGCCUUACACAUGCAAGUCGAACGGCAGCACGGGAGCAAUCCUGGUGGCGAGUGGCGAACGGGUGAGUAAUAUAUCGGAACGUGCCCGGUCGUGGGGAUAACGUAGCGAAAGCUACGCUAAUACCGCAUACGAUCUACGGAUGAAAGCGGGGGAUCGCAAGACCUCGCGCGAUUGGAGCGGCCGAUAUCAGAUUAGGUAGUUGGUGAGGUAAAGGCUCACCAAGCCGACGAUCUGUAGCUGGUCUGAGAGGACGACCAGCCACACUGGGACUGAGACACGGCCCAGACUCCUACGGGAGGCAGCAGUGGGAAAUUUGGACAAUGGGCGCAAGCCUGAUCCAGCAAUGCCGCGUGCAGGAUGAA
rnacentral:rRNA from 1 species